AGAGGUGGCAAGCGUUGUUCGGAAUUACUGGGCGUAAAGGGCGCGUAGGCGGCCUUCUCAGUCAGACGUGAAAUCCCCGGGCUUAACUCGGGAACUGCGUCUGAUACUGGAAGGCUGGAGUUCGGGAGAGGGAUGUGGAAUUCCAGGUGUAGCGGUGAAAUGCGUAGAUAUCUGGAGGAACACCGGUGGCGAAGGCGGCAUCCUGGACCGAAACUGACGCUGAGGCGCGAAAGCCAGGGGAGCAAACGGGAUUAGAUACCCCGGUAGUCCUGGCCCUAAACGAUGAGUGCUUGGUGUGGCGGGUAUCGAUCCCUGCCGUGCCGAAGCUAACGCAUUAAGCACUCCGCCUGGGGAGUACGGUCGCAAGGCUGAA
rnacentral:rRNA from 1 species